CUUAACCCGGAAGCCUGCCGCACCAAUGUGUCAGAGGAAACACCGUCCAACUGGCGACCGUGUCAGCGUGCAUGCACCCAGCCCGCCACAGGAGUCGCUAGAGUGCGAUGGGCCAGAUCUAUAGUGACGCCUCUAGUACUGCGACGCAGUUUCUUAGACCGCUGCGCUACUCGGGAAGCCCUCUUGUCUCAAAAUUGACUACAAAGUGUAAAUAGGAUAGUUUUGGUCAUGAAGUCAGUCUCGUCCAAAACAGAGUUUGUAAGUGAGUUCGUCACGACUUACUGGAGGGUUGCGUAUGGGCUACUUACAGUUGAAGUUGGAAGUUUACAUACACCUUAGCCAAAUACUUUUAAACUCAGUUUUUCACAAUUCCUGACAUUUAAUCUGAGUAAAAAUCCCCUGUCUUAGGUCAGUUAGGAUCACCACUUUAUUUUAAGAAUGUGAAAUGUCUGAAUAAUAGUAGAGAGAAUGAUUUAUUUCAGAUUUGAUUUCUUUCAUCACAUUCCCAGUGGGCCAGAAGUUUACACACACUCAAUUAGUAUUUGCCUUUAAAUUGUUUAACUUUGGUAAAAUGUUUUGGGUAGCCUUAAACAAGCUUCCCACAAUAAGUUAGGUGAAAUUUGACACAUUCCUCCUGACAGCUGGUGUAACCAAGUCCGGUUUGUAGGCAUCCUCGCUCGCACACGCUUUUUCAGUUCUUCCCACAGAUUUUCUAUGGGAUUGAGGUCAGGACUUUGUGAUGGCCACUCCGAUACCUUGACUUUGUUGUCCUUAAGCCAUUUUGGCACAACUUUGGAAGAAUGCUUGGGGUCAUUGUCCAUUUGGAAGACCCAUUUGCAACCAAGCUUUAACUUCCUGACUGAUGUCUUGAGAUGUUGCUUCAACAUAUCCACAUAAUUUCCCCCCCUCAUCAUGCCAUCUAUUUUGUGAAGUGCACCAGUCCCUCCUGCAGCAAAGCACCCCCACAACAUGAUGCUGCCACCCCGUGCUUCAUGGUUGGGAUGGUGUUCUUCGGCUUGCAAGCAUCCCCCUUUUCCCUCUAAACAUGAUGAUGGUCAUUAUGACCAAACAGUUCUAUUUUUGUUUCAUCAGACCAGAGGACAUUUCUCCAAAAAGUAUAAUCUUUGUCCCCAUGUGCAGUUGCAAACCGUAGUCUGGCUUUUUUUAAUGCCGGUUUUGGAGCAGUGGCUUUUUCCUUGCUGAGCGGCCUUUCAGGCUAUGUCGAUGUAGGACUCGUUUUACUGUGGAUAUAGAUACUUUUGUACCUGUUUUCUCCAGCAUCUUCACAAGGUCCUUUGCUGUUGUUCUGGGAUUGAUUUGCAUUUUUCACACCAAAGUACGUUCAUCUCGAGGAGACAGAAUGUGUCUCCUUCCUGAGCGGUAUGAAGGCUGCGUGGUCCCAUGGUGUUUAUACUUGCGUACUAUUGUUUGUACAGAUGAACGUGGUACCUUCAGUCGUUUGGAAAUUGCUCCCAAGAAUGAACCAGACUUGUGGAGGUCUACAAUUUCUUGUCUGAGGUCUUGGCUGAUUUCGUUUGAUUUUCCCAUGAUGUCAAGCAAAGAGGCACUGAGUUUGAAUGUAGGCCUUGAAAUACAUCGACAGGUACACCUCCAAUUGACUCAAAUGAUGUCAAUUAGCCUCUCAGAAGCUUCUAAAGCCAUGACAUAAUUUUCUGGAAUUUUUCAAGCUGUUUAAAGGCACGGUCAAUUUAGUGUAUGUAAACAUCUGACCCACUGGAAUUGUGAUUAAGUGAAAUAAUCUAGUCUGUAAACAAUUGCUGGAAAAAUUAGUUGUGUCAUGCACACGGUAGAUUGCCAAAACUAUAGUUUGUUAACAAGAAAUCUGUGGAGUGGUUGAAAAACGAGUUUUAAUAACUCCAACCUAAGUGAAUGUCAACUUCCGACUUCAACUGUACAUGCCCACUUUUGCGAUGAUGCCCAAAUUGCCCAGAAACAACACAUUGUGGUCUUUCCUCAGCUGCCAUGUGGACAUUUGUUGUCAAGUUUGCAUAUGGGUGACACACACGCACAUUUCACUCGGCAAAUUGGAGGGACAAUUUGCUUCCAUAAAGUUGAACAAGACUUCCAAUGCAUUUCAACAAUAUUGCCAAAUGGCCAAGAAUGGAUUUCCUCCGACACGGUCACUUCUGCCGCAUGUCAACCGUGAAAUCGCUGGUGUUGGCUACGUACAAAACCUACCAUAUCAGGAGCUGUUACAGAAGGCUGAGGCAGUGGCCAGACACCAGUCCUGCUUCAGAGUAAUGGAGGACACUUGAAUAAGCUGGGUCAGAUAUAGGAGCCUAUGUCAGGCUCCUUUAUGACCAGUAUCUGUGACAAGAGGGACCUGGAGCCGAUCUACGCUGCCACGGACAUCAGAUGGAGGACAGAAGAGAUGCUUUUGAAAUGAGUCCUCAGGUUGAUAUUGAUGUCUGAACUGGGACAGAUCUUGCACUCAAGCAUUCAAAUUAUACAAGACAUCUACUACUUGUUGUGGUCUUUUGUUAUUAUUGAAUCGGACUGUACUAUCCAUGGGGGGGGACACACACACCAUACCAAAAGGUAUAAUAUUUGCACAUUGUUAUAUUAGCAGGUCACUGCUUCCACAGUGUUAUGUGAGGUAGGGUUUAUUCUACAUGGAAGUGUUGCACUUGAAAGUUAUCUACGUAAGUGGCUCUGGAUAAGAGCGUCUGCUAAAUUACUAAAAUAUCAAAUGUAAUAAGUUCAGUAGUUGCACUCUUCUAAUAUUACUGAUUAGGCUACUAACCUUCUGGAGGAAGCUUUGAAUAGCCUACAGAGUGGUAUGAGAAGUGCGCCAUCCUCCACAUCAGCCAGUAGUUAUUGAACUCUGUCUGCUGGACCCAUGGGUUGAAGUGAACUCUGUCAUAUCCAGGAUGGAGUGUCAUGCACUCCACUUCUCCUGUCCCCUGACAGCACCUGUCCAAAACUUCUAAAACAUGACAUAGAUGGAAGGGACUUCAUCACCCACUGGAGACUUGAAGACAGAACCUCACCCAGAGAGCUGUACAUCUCAGAUUUGGCCAAAUAGAAUGCCAUUCUAGUUCUGGUUAGACAGCUGAAGUUGUACAAUGCAUACAACAUAUUUGUAUUUGCUAGGCAAGUGCAGGUAUACUGUCUUAAUCAGCACAUCAUUAUGAUAUUUACAGCAUAAAAUGUUUUGUCUUUGUAACACGAAAACACAUUUUGUUGUUGUUGAUAAAUGCAUCUACACUCAA